GGCUGGUUAGCUUAGUCAGUUGAGUGUGGCGCUGAGAAUGCCAAGGUCGUGGGUUCAAUUCCCGCUUGGUCCC
rfam:Apaloderma vittatum contig34882, whole genome shotgun sequence.